rnacentral:rRNA from 1 species
UACGUAGGGGGCAAGCGUUGUCCGGAUUUAUUGGGCGUAAAGAGCGUGUAGGCGGCCAUACAGGUCAGCUGUGAAAACUCGAGGCUCAACCUCGAGACGUCGGUUGAAACCGUAUGGCUAGAGUCCGGAAGAGGAGAGUGGAAUUCCCGGUGUAGCGGUGAAAUGCGCAGAUAUCAGGAGGAACACCGGUGGCGAAGGCGAGUCUCUGGGCCGUUACUGACGCUGAUGCACGAAAGCUGGGGGAGCAAACAGG